UACGUAGGGGGCGAGCGUUGUCCGAAGUUACUGGGCGUAAAGCGCGCGUAGGCGGGGGGUUAAGUGAGAGGUGAAAGGCUGGGGCUCAACCUCAUGCAGUGUCUCUCAUACUGGCCUUCUUGAGGGCGGUAGGGAGAAGUGGAAUGGCUGGUGUAGCGGUGAAAUGCGUAGAUAUCAGUCGGAACACCGGUGGCGAAGGCGGCUUCUUGGGCCGUUCCUGACGCUGAUGCGCGAAAGCUGGGGGAGCAAACAGG
rnacentral:rRNA from 1 species